CUGACCUAUACAAAGGCUGCAACAAAGUUAAUGUUUGGAAAGCCAGAAGAAGUUGAGCAGACAAAGAGAAGGAGGGAAGCUAAGGCAGCUCCAAUCAUCCCUCCACAUAGCUGAACAAUGAUGUAAGGUGCCAGCAGGAUCACCUCCAGCCCCCCGACCAGGCUUCCUUUCACUACUGUUGGAAGGUUCAGUCCAGUUUGCACACUGUGGAGGUUCCAACUCCAUAUAUGACUAAAGGAGACCU